rnacentral:lncRNA from 1 species
AAAAAAAAAAAAAAAAAAAGAAAUCUGCUGAUAGCCUUAUGAGGGUUCUCUUGUAUGUGAUGAGUCAUUUUUCUCUUGCUAAUUUCAAGAUUCUCUCUUUGUCUCUGACUUUUAACAUUUUUAUUUAACGUAUGUCAGAGUAAUCUUUGUUGUGUUGAUUUUGCUUAGGGGCUUUUGAACUUCCUAUAUGUGGAUGUUCAUAUCUGUCCCAAGAUUUGGGACGUUUUCAGCUAUUAUAUAUUUAAAUACGCUUUCUUCUCUUGAGACUACCAUGAUGUAAAUGUCUGUUCCUUGAUGGUGACCCAUAAUUCAUGUAAGCUUUCUUCACUUUUUUUUUUGCUUUUUUUUUAAGGGCUUCACCUGCAUCAUGUGGAAGUUCCCAAGCUAUGGGCUGAAUUGGAGCUGUAGCUCCUGGCCUAUACCACAGUCACAGCAACUCAGGAUCCAAGCCGCAUCUGUGACUUACACCACAGCUCAUGGCAAUGCUGGAUCCUUAAUCCACUGAACAGGACCAGGGAUCAAACCUACAUCCUCAUGGAUACUAGUUUGAUUCUUAACCCACUAAGCCACAGUGGGAACUUCAUCUUCACUUUUUUAUUCUUUUUUUUUCUUUUUCCCUCUAACUGACUAAUCUCAAAUAAUUUGUUUCUGAGUUUGAUUCCUUGUUAUACGUGAUCAAGUCUAUUGUUGAAGCUCUCUAUUGAAUUUUCUAGGUCUGUUGUAUUCUUCAGCUUCAAGACUUCUGUUUGCUUCUUUCUGUGGUGUCUAUUUCUUUAUAAAUCUUCUCAUUUUAUUUAUACAUCAUUUUACAGAUUUUGUAAACAACUCUCCUUAAGGUAGUGAUUCUCUCUCUCUCUCUCUCUCUCUCUCACACACACACACACACACACACACACACUGCCAUUGGCCACAUACACAUUUUUAAGCCAGUGCCUAAACUAUUUUUUAAAGUUGGGUUGUACUAUUUGUGUCUGGGUGAGAUCUCUUGGAUAUUUCUCCAGAAGUAGAGCAUAUGAUUUGUGUUAAAAAUUAUAUAUUCUUCAGAACCACACACAAGCUAAUUAGAAAACCUUACCUUAAUGGCUGGGUCUAUCAUCCAUUUUACCUUGACAAAUAUUGACAGUUUCCUGAAGGCCAACCUUGUUCUUUCCAAGAUUUGUACAUAGCACCUUAUGGGAAAUGGGAGGCUUUAGUAAAUAUUAUUAAGGGUGGAGGUAAGUUAAGGCUAUGUCUUGGUCUUUUACAAUUAUCUUUCCAUUUACAUAUCUAACAAUUGGAAAAGACUAGUUUACAAUGGAAAAUUAAAAUCAAGGGUAAAAUUUUCAGUGAAAAUUUGUUUUACUGAACUAAAGGAUAAAACUCUGCGAUAAUAAAGACACAUAUUUCUUUUCUCUUAACACAGUUUCUCUUUCCAACUAUUUAUUUUGAAAACAUUUUAGACUUACACAAAAGUUUCAGCGAUUAUUGAGCGUCCCUGUUUAUCCUUCACUCACUUUCCUUUAAUAUUAACAUCUUACAUAACCAGGUAAAUGAUUGAAGUCAAAAAAUUUAACAUUAAUACAAUACUCUUAAAUGCCUACAGACCUUACUGAAAUUUCAUCACCUUUCCCACUAAUGUCCUUUUCCUGGUCUGGCAACCAACCCAAUGUUGCAUUCAGUUACCACGUUUCCUUAGUAUCUACAAGUCUAUGACACUUCCUAGGUCUUUCUUUAUCUAUCAUGAUCUUGAAACUUUUUAAAAUACUGGUCUGUUACUUUUUUAUAAUGUUCCUCAAUUUGGUUUUGCUUGUGGUUCUCUGAUAAUUAAAUUCACGUUUUGCAUUUUUGGCAAGAAAAAUCACAGAAAUGCUGUUUAGGUCUUUAAUCUGUAUUGAGUUUAUUUUGGUGUAUGAUGUUAAAGAAUGUUCUGAUUUCAUUCUUUUGCAUGUAGCUGUCCAGUUUUCUCAGCAUCACUUGUUGAAGAGACUCUUUUCUCCAUUUUACAUCUUUGCCUCCUUCGCCAUAGGUUAGUUGACCAUAAGUAUGUGGGUUUAUCUCUGGGCUUUAUUUCCUGUUUCAUUGAUCUAUAUCUCUUUUUUUAAUGCUAGUACCAUGCUGUUUUUAUGACUGUAGUUUUGUAGUAUACUCUGAAGCCUGGAAGUCUGAUUCCUCCAGUUCUGUUUUUCUUCUUCAAGAUUGCUUUGGCUAUUUGAGGUCUUUUGUGUUUCCACACAAAUUAAAACAAUUUUUUUUGGUUCUAGUUCUGUGAAAAAUGUCAUUGGUAAUUCGAUAGGGAUUGCAUUGAAUCUGUAGGUUGCCUUGGGUAGUAUAGUCAUUUUGACAGUAUUGAUUCUUCCAAUCCAAGAGCAACUGUCAUGGAAUGCCUCCAGAUUUCUCACUUUCUUGCCAUCCCUCAGUAUGCAAAGCAAUACAUACUCCUUUCCCUGAAAAUUUUCAUUGUUGAGGAAAAAUUUGUAAGACUUUGAUCUGAGCAACAAAACCAACAAGGUUUUAUUGGGUCAUAUUCUAGAAUAUAAACACUUGUUUUAAGCCUGAAAUGAUUGGAUAGAAAUGACAAUUCAUAAAGUUUGGUUAUUUUUUCCCCCCUCAUAAUCCUGAGAAAGACAAAUAAAAUUUUUGUGCCAUGAGUAAGAGUUGUGAAGUGGUCAUCAGACUACAGUGUCUAUAGUUCCCAGAUUUGAUUUGUAUCAUAGAAUUUUCAGAGUUAUCUAGUUUAGCUUCUUUGUUUUACAAUGAGGAAAUUGUCCCAAUGUUUGGUAUACUGUUUUAUUUUUAUUUUUAUUUAUUUAUUUUUAUUGAAGUAUAUUGAUUUACAAUGUGUUGUUUCUGAUGUACAUACACGUGUGUGUGUGUAUAUGUAUAAAAUAUAUAAUGAUGUGUGUGUGUGUGUGUGUGUGUGUGUGUGUGUGUGUGUGUACACACAAUAUCUUCUUUAUCCAUUCAUUUGUAGUUAGACAUUUAAGUUGCUCCCAUGUCUUAGCUAUUGUAAAUAGCACUACUAUGAACUUACGUGUGCAUGUAUCUUUUUGAAUUAUUGUUUUGUCUUGAAUAAUGCCCAGGGGUGGGAUUGCUGCAUCCCACCCCUAAAAAUAGUAACUCUAUUUUUAGUUUCUUGAGGAACCACCAUACUGUCCUCCAUGGUGACUGUGCCAAUUUACAUUCACACCAACAGCAUAGGUGGCUUCUCUUGUAUUGUUGAUGCUAGUUAUUUGUUUAAUGAAUGAGUUAAAUGACGUGCCUUAGUUUCACAGAGGUACCGUCAGCACCAGAACUCAAUAGGACACUGACUUGGCACCCAUUUCUUUGUGCAGGUACACAUUAAUCCCUAGAGUUGAUGCCUGUGUUUUGGGGCAUCUAGUGUUACUGAAGAAGCCCCAGACAGAGAAAGCAACUCAAGGUAGGGAGUAUAUCUGAUUAUUUCUCUCCUGUCAGGACCACUCAUAGGACUGUAUGAAAAGUAAAUCAUUUGCUGGUGGGGUUUAGUAAACUUUUUAAACUAAUCUGCAUUGUGAAGCCUGAAAAUCAAGCAGAUAAUUUAUAAAAGUAGAAAGGUGAGCUGCUCUUGACUUUUCAUUGAGAAAAAUCUAUCAGAAACUAACCUUCAAGCUUAGAAUUGCAGUGGGGUUAGUGGAGAUGGGCACUGGGGAUCAAGGGAAAAAUGUAGACUUUGAAUACUCUUAACCCAAAUCCAGUUAUGCUUCCUUGAAACUCUCCCACUCUGUCCCGGUGAAUGUGGUCAGGCAAUGUAGAAGCCUGUAGGGAGAAUGUCAGUAUUCAGGUUUCCUUGGAAAGUGACUUUUAUGUUUCUCUUUGAAAAAUUAACAUGGUUAAAUUCAUUUGAGUAAUAAAAAAAAAGAAAAA